rnacentral:rRNA from 1 species
UACAGAGGGUGCAAGCGUUAAUCGGAAUUACUGGGCGUAAAGCGUGCGUAGACGGUUGCAUAAGUCAGAUGUGAAAGCCCCGGGCUCAACCUGGGAAUUGCAUUUGAGACUGUGUAGCUAGGGUGCGGAAGAGGGAAGCGGAAUUUCCGGUGUAGCGGUGAAAUGCGUAGAUAUCGGAAGGAACACCAGUGGCGAAGGCAGCUCGCUGGGACGGUACUGACGCUAAGGCGCGAAAGCGUGGGGAGCGAACAGG